rnacentral:rRNA from 1 species
ACCCGCUGAACUUAAGCAUAUCAAUAAGCGGAGGAAAAGAAACCAACAGGGAUUGCCCUAGUAACGGCGAGUGAAGCGGCAACAGCUCAAAUUUGAAAGCUGGCCUUCGGGUCCGCAUUGUAAUUUGCAGAGGAUGCUUUGGGGAAGCCGCCUGUCUAAGUUCCUUGGAACAGGACGUCAUAGAGGGUGAGAAUCCCGUAUGUGACAGGAAAUGGCACCCCAUGUAAAGCUCCUUCGACGAGUCGAGUUGUUUGGGAAUGCAGCUCUAAAUGGGAGGUAAAUUUCUUCUAAAGCUAAAUACCGGCGAGAGACCGAUAGCGCACAAGUAGAGUGAUCAAAAGAUGAAAAGCACUUUGGAAAGAGAGUUAAAAAGCACGUGAAAUUGUUGAAAGGGAAGCGCUUGCAAUCAGACUUGUCCCUGACUGUUCGGCCGGUCUUCUGACCGGUUUACUCAGUCUGGGACAGGCCAGCAUCGGUUUCGGCGGUCGGAUAAAGGCCCUGGGAAUGUGGCUCUGCCUUCGGGGAGAGUGUUAUGGCCCAGGGUGUAAUACGGCCAGCCGGGACCGAGGUCCGCGAUUCGUCUAGGAUGCUGGCGUAAUGGUUGU